AUGGCCGCGGUAUUUUGACCGUGCAAAGGUAGCAUAAUCAUUAGUUUUUUAAUUGAAAGCUGGAAUGAAUGGUUGGACAAGAAAAUUUCUGUCUCUAUUUAAUUUUUUAGAAUUUUAUUUUUUAGUAAGAAAGCUUAAAUUUUUUUAAGGGACGAGAAGACCCUAUAGAAUUUUACAUAUAUUAAGGUUUUCAAUUUUUAGGAUAAUUAUUUUGGAAUUUAUUUUAUAUGUUUUGUUGGGGUGAUAGAAAAAUUUAAAUAACUUUUUUUUAUUUCAAUCAUUGAUUAAUGAAUAUUUGAUCCAUUUAUUGGGAUUAUAAGAUUAAAUUACCUUAGGGAUAACAGC
rnacentral:rRNA from 1 species